CGGCGUGGAUUAGGCAUGCAAGUCGUACGCACAGCAAUGUGAGUGGCGCAAGGGUGAGUAAUACGAAGGUAACCAACCCUGAAGUUGGGCAUAGCCGCGGGAAACUGCGGGUAAAUUCCCAGCGACGUUGCGAGAUGGCAUCAUCUUGCAACCAAAGGGUGUGAUUCCGCUUUAGGACGGGCCUUCGUGGUAUUAGGUAGUUGGUGAGGUAACGGCUCACCCAAGCCUACGAUGCCUACCGGGUGUGAGAGCAUGACCCGGCACACUGGAACUGAGACACUGUCCAGACACCUACGGAUGGCUGCAGUCGAGAAUCUUCGGCAAUGGGCGAAAGCCUGACCGAGCGACGCCGCGUGAGGGAUUGAAGGCCUUCGGGUUGUAAACCUCUUUCGUAGAGGAGGAAGGGGCUGUGAAGAACAGUCCUUGACCUAUUCUAGGAAGAAGCUUGGGCUAAGUUCGUGCCAGCAGCCGCGGUAAGACGAACCAAGCGAACGUUAUUCGGAAUUACUGGGCUUAAAGCGCGUGUAGGCGGACUACCACGUUGGUUGUUGAAAUCCCCCGGCCUAACCGGGGAACUGGCACCAAUACGAGUAGUCUGGAGGUGGGUAGGGGAGACUGGAACUUCCGGUGGAGCGGUGAAAUGCGUUGAGAUCGGAAGGAACGCCCGCGGCGAAAGCGAGUCUCUGGACCCAUACUGACGCUGAGACGCGAAAGCCAGGGGAGCAAACGGGAUUAGAUACCCCGGUAGUCCUGGCUGUAAACAUUGGGCACUGGGUAGUGGAACCGCCGAUGGUUUCACUGCCGCAGGAAACCGUGAA
rnacentral:rRNA from 1 species